UGGGAACGCGCCCUUCGGUUCGGGAUAACCCAGGGAAACUUGGGCUAAUACCGGAUACGCCCUUACGGGGAAAGAUUUAUUGCCGAAGGAACGGCCCGCGUCCGAUUAGCUAGUUGGUGAGGUAAUGGCUCACCAAGGCGACGAUCGGUAGCUGGUCUGAGAGGAUGACCAGCCUCACUGGGACUGAGACACGGCCCAGACUCCUACGGGAGGCAGCAGUGGGGAAUAUUGGACAAUGGGCGCAAGCCUGAUCCAGCCAUGCCGCGUGGGUGAUGAAGGCCCUAGGGUUGUAAAGCCCUUUCAGCGGGGAAGAUAAUGACGGUACCCGCAGAAGAAGCCCCGGCUAACUUCGUGCCAGCAGCCGCGGUAAUACGAAGGGGGCUAGCGUUGCUCGGAAUUACUGGGCGUAAAGCGCACGUAGGCGGCUUUCUAAGUCGGGGGUGAAAUCCUGGAGCUCAACUCCAGAACUGCCUUCGAUACUGGAAAGCUCGAGUCCGGGAGAGGUGAGUGGAACU
rnacentral:rRNA from 1 species